AACUGGCGGCAGCUUUCGAAUGCUAUCUCUACGGGAAGUGGUGUUUCGAGUGGCGGACGGGUGAGUAACGCGUAAAAACCUGCCCUUGGGAGGGGAACAACAGCUGGAUACUGCUGCUAGUACCCCGUAUGCUGAGGAGCGAAAGGAGGAAUCCGCCCUACGAGGGGCUCGCGUCUGAUUACCUAGUUGGUGAGGUAAUAACUUACCAAGGCGGUGAUCAGUAGCUGGUCCGAGAGAUGAUCAGCCACACUGGGACUGAGACAUAGGCCCACACUCCUACGGGAGGCACCAGUGGGGAAUUUUCCGCAGUGGGCUAAAGCCUGACGGAGCAAUGCCGCGUGGAAGAAAAAGGCCUACGGGUCAUGAACUUCUUUUCCUGGAGAAUAAACAAUGACCGUAUCUGGGGAAUAAGCAUCCGCUAACUCUGUGCCACCAUCCGCGGUAAG
rnacentral:rRNA from 1 species